rnacentral:tRNA from 1 species
GGCUCGUUGGUCUGGGUUGAUUCUCGCUUUGGGUGCGAGAGGUCCCGGGUUCAAAUCCCGACGAGCCC